CCUACGGGAGGCUGCAGUAGGGAAUCUUCCACAAUGGGCGAAAGCCUGAUGGAGCAACGCCGCGUGGGUGAAGAAGGUCUUCGGAUCGUAAAACCCUGUUGUUAGAGAAGAAAGUUCGUGAGAGUACCUGUUCACGUUUCGACGGUAUCUAACCAGACAGCCACGGCUAACUACGUGCCAGCAGCCGCGGUAAUACGUAGGUGGCAAGCGUUAUCCGGAUUUAUUGGGCGUAAAGGGAACGCAGGCGGUCUUUUAAGUCUGAUGUGAAAGCCUUCGGCUUAACCGGAGUAGUGCAUUGGAAACUGGGAGACUUGAGUGCAGAAGAGGAGAGUGGAACUCCAUGUGUAGCGGUGAAAUGCGUAGAUAGAUGGAAGAACACCAGUGGCGAAAGCGGCUCUCUGGGCUGUAACUGACGCUGAGGUUCGAAAGCGUGGGUAGCAAACAGGAUUAGAUACCCGUGUAGUC
rnacentral:rRNA from 1 species